UUGUGAAUGAAACUAAACUAUAAAUGAAUAUUAUUUGAAAGUGUCUUUAAACCCAAACACAUGUAACCAGAAAUAGAAUAAAAAAUAGAAAAAAGGUAACAUGAAGAAUGAUUCAGAUAAAACACAAUUCUAUGGGAUUUUCUUGAUUAUAAUAACUAAAUUCUGUAUUCAAACAUUACAGGAAAUGCUCGCAUAUAAAAGCUGUUUAUAAUAAAUAUGAGAUGACUCUUAUAGUCUAUUCUAUAUCCAUAUAUAUCGGAACGCUGUUUUUCUGAAAGAGGUCGAUAGUUUGUGUCCUGAUGCUUUUCGCUGUGUGAAGACUGGAGGAGCAACUAAGAUGAUCUUUGGAAGUGGAACCAGUUUAACCAUUGAACCCAGUAAGUGGAGAUAUGGAUCCUAAUGUGAUUCCUAUGAAACCUCUCUAAAGUAGAAUUAGAAUGUUUUACAGGGAAACACACAAUUUCAUUAAGAGUUAAUUCGGUUUCUCUACUUUAAAUGUCAAAAACAACAUUUUAUUAAUGACAUUAUAUUAUUAUUUUACAUUACACUCAUUUACUUAUUGUGAUUGAAACCUAAUCAACAUUAUUUAAACUCAAAUGUCCUCAUUAAAGUGAGUGGAGUUUGUGUGUUGGUGCUUCUUGUUGUGUGAAUGCUGGAACCAAGAUCAUCUUUGGAACUGGGACCAGUUUAACCAUUGAACCCAGUGAGUAGCUUUAAGAUUAUUGAAAUUGAUCAACUUUACUGGUGUUUUCUCACAUAAGCAGAAGAUCAGCAUGUUGUUUGUUCAGCAUCUCUACUGUAGAAUCUACAUUUUAUUAUUUAUUACGUUGAUACGCUUGUAGAAUCUUAAAUGAAACCAGAGACAAAAAGUCUCAAAGGUAAAAACAAUUUUUUAAGUGGAGUCUGGUUGAGUUUGUGUUUGAAUGACAGUAAAUGUCAUCAUUUAAAUCUGAUUCAUAAAGAAUAUUCCAUACUAACUAUUUUAUGAUGGAAGUGUAAAAUGUAAAAGCGCUGUUUUUCUGGAUGGAGUCUGGCUCAGUUUGUGUCCUGAUGAUUCGUGUUGUGUGAAGACUGGUUCUUCAUUGAAGAUAAUCUUUGGAACUGGGACCAGUUUAACCAUUGAACCCAGUGAGUAACUUUAUUCAUUUUUAAUAUAAUUGAUAACAAAAACAACCCUGAGCUGAUGACGUUAAAUAUAAACACAUCAGCUGUUUAGUUUAACAAACAUGGUUUGUUAUUUAUUGUCUCUGCUGUAAAAUAACACUAAUCUAUUACAUAAUUGCGUAAUCAAUCAUCUUGUUCAAUAAUCAUUGAGACAAAAGUGUCAAAGAGUAAAAAGCAAGAUUUUAUGAGAGGAAAUGUUUGUUGGUUUGUUUGUUUCUCUUGAUGGCGUCUGACUCAGUUUGUGUCCUGAUGAUUCGUGUUGUGUGAAGACUGGUUCUUCAUAUAAGAUCAUCUUUGGAACUGGAACCAGUUUAACCAUUGAACCCAGUGAGUAGCUUUAUUCAUUAUGGAUGGAUACUAAGUAUAUUUGGAGCGUCUUUAAAAACGAACUACGUCUGUGUUUUACUCUAAAAAGAUUAAUUUGACUCGUUUGAAUCAGCAAAAAAGAAAACCAAGUAGAUGCAUCAGCUAAUAAAGUUCAUCAAUAUCCAGACAAUGAUCAGUAAAUCAUUCCGUUUAUUACCUCUACAGUAAAUAUCUAAAUGUACAUUUUAUUUAUAAUGCAAAUUAAUGAGUAAUAAUGACAUUGUCGUUCUUCUUUAAAUUUAAGUCCAAAAAUAACAAUUUCAAUAUGUUUGUAGGUGGCUAUCAUAAUUAAAUGAAUUAAAUCCAGGACCUUUGAAUGACAGUAAAUGUCAUCAUUUAAAUCUGAUUCAUAAAGAAUAUUCCAUACUAACUAUUUUAUGAUGGAAGUGUAAAAUGUAAAAGCGCUGUUUUUCUGGAUGGAGUCUUGCUCAGUUUGUGUCCUGAUGUUUCUUGUUGUGUGAAGACUGGUUCUGUAAAUAAGAUGUUCUUUGGAGCUGGAACCAGUUUAACCAUUGAACCCAUGUCUGGUUCAUAGUUUCUGUCGCGCUGCAUCUUGUUGUGUGAAUACUGGAGGACGAUUUAAAAUGACCUUUGGCACUGGGACCAGUUUAACCAUUGAACCCAGUAAGUAACGAUAUCAUUUAUUAAUAGUUAUUAUGCCAACGUUCUUUGGAAACGAAACUGACUUGUGAAAUGAAAACAGUCAACAUAUAGAUCACAAAUAUUUAAAAUAAACUCUAUUCACCAGGACUCACUGAUCAUGAUAUCAGAAAAGUAAAUCGGAAUAAUCAAUUAGCAUUAAUUAACGACAUCAACAAUUUCUACUGUAGAGAAAACAUUUGAAAUCUAAAAACGCCUUUUUUCUGAAUGGAGUCUGGUUGUGUUUGUGUUGUGGGUAAAUCAAUACAAGAUCAUCUUUGGAGACGGAACCAGUUCAAACAUUGAACCCAGUAAGUUCUGAUAAUAUAGAUUUUAUAGUAUAGAUGUUACAUAUAUAUAAAUACACACAUAACCCAGAGUUUAUAGAAUCAAAAUCAAUACAUCAAACCUCACUGAUAUUAAUCAAUACUUAGAGCAUCGUCACUUUGACAGUAAGGCCCGCUCUAUUCAUAACAUAUAUGGUAUGUAAAUAUUUUAUGAAUAAAGUACCAACACCAUCUUAUAUGUAAUAAUAAUAUGUAUCAUAUAUAAUAAUAAUUCAGAUGAAAGUAUUAAAUGUUAAAUGGGGGAUUUUCUGAGUGGAGUCUGGUGGAGUUUGUGUCCUGAUGCUUCUUACUGUGUGAAUACUGGAAACAGGUUGAUCUUUGGAACUGGCACCAGUUUAACCAUUGAACCCAGUGAGUAUUGAUAUAAAUCUAAAAUACCAGUUUGUUUAACAUCUGUACUGUAGAACUAAAGUUAUAAUCUACAUUUUAUUAUUUAUGAUCUUGGCUUUGGACUCUUAAAAUGGAAACAGAAAGUGGUCCUCAUGUUUCUGAAGUGGAGUCGGGUUGAGUUUGUGUCCCGAUGCUUCUUGUUGUGUGAAUACUGGAUACAAGAUGAUGUUUGGAACUGGAACCAGUUUAACCAUUGAACCCAGUGAGUAUAAAUAUUCUAUCAAAAUCAUUGCUAAUAAUUCUUUUUUUGUUAACUUAUCCAGUUGUAAAGUUUUAAAUUUAAUUCAUACAAAGAAUUUUAUUCUAAAUCUCUGAACGUUUUUCUUAAUACAAAAAUGAAUGUAUUAAUACUUGUAGUAUUAUAUUUGCAGUUAAUUAUAUUUCAUAUAGUCUUCAAUAAUCACACUUUGAAGCUUUUAUAUGAAGAUAAAAACAAAACCACAGAAGAAGAUGAAACAAAGAUGAAACAUUUCAUUUAACCUUUCAAGCUCAUAAAAUCCACAUUAAGUAUAAAAAUGAAUAAAAAGACACAAUUCAGCCUAUUAAACAUAAUAUUUCAUUUAUAAAAUAAAUACACCAAUAUCUAUGUAUAAAGUUGAUUACUUUUUUUAAAUGAAGAAUAGAUUUAAAAAAAAACCUUUUUCAACUUUUUAAAAUCCCCCCAAAAAGUUCAAUCCCCGAAAACAACAUUCUGCUAAAACAUGAAACAUAACUAUAGAAACAUAAAAUGGACAUAUAUUGUUGAAAAGAGAAUCUUCUUUGUAUAACCAUACAUUUAGUGGCGUUAGUAUUUCUACUUUAAGUUAUUUAUAAUUGAUCAUUUGUAAGUUCUUUUUCUUAAAAAACGUUAAAUCACUGUUUUUCUGAAUAGAGUCUGCUUCAUAGUUUCUGUCGCGCUGCGUCUUGUUGUGUGAAUGCUGGAGGAGGAUUUAAAAUGACCUUCGGCACUGGGACCAGUUUAACCAUUGAACCCAGUAAGUAACAAUUUAAUUCAUUAAAAGUUAUUAUGCCAACAAUCUUUGUAAACAAAACUGACUUGUACACAGUCAAAAUAGUCAAAAAUCACAAAUAUUUAAAAUAAACUCACCUCAAAUUCACCAGGACUCACUGAUCAUGAUAUCAGAAAAAGUAAAUCAGAAUAAUCAAUUAGCAUUAAUUAAAGACAUCAACAAUUUCUACUGUAGAGAAAACAUUUGAAAUCU